CAAAAGAUCCAGAUAUCCCAGCCGGAAGAAAGCGAUGCAAGAACAGUAAGAAAGAAGAGCACUUUUAAUAUACCUCACCCACGGGACACGAAUCUCCCGGUCCCCCAGCGCCCUCGGGAUAAAUUCGUAAUCGAUCCUUCGCAAACUGCAUUGCGUGUGUGUGUGCGUUAAGGGUUAAAAGACGGACAUUACCUGCACCCUAGGAUCCACCGGAACGUUACUAUCACUGUCCACCGAUGUCAUGUUAGCCAGGUUGAAGGUUGGUUGAUUGCAGUGCUGGAGCGAUGGUGUUGUCUACUACCAACACCGUGUUGGCGACGUUGCACACUGACGGCUGACUAUCGAUCGCGGGGAAGCUUUCCCGCCGUAGUAACCAUUCAGCGGGGGUUUUUCUUUUUGUUUUGUUUGCUAGACCCUUUUUUCCUUUUUGUACGUUGUGUACGAUCGAGCUUACCACCGGUGGGGUCGGUUGGCUAGAAGCAGUAAAAUGCAAUCCACACGACGGACUCGCUAGUUAGUACGGUUGCGGGCUGGUUCUCCGGUUACUACGGGCGUGUGCGCGUGUGUGUAGGACAUGGCCACCGUCCCGUUCGAUGCAACUUUUAGUGGACACUAUGUCUGUAAAGCUCCUCAGGAGCAUGCCAAGCGUCGCGAACGCGAAUGAUUGUCAGCCAAAAAAAGUCAGCUACUGUGGUGGUAUGCGUGUACUAAGCAAUUGUACUACACCGACCAAACAAAAAAAAAAA